rnacentral:rRNA from 1 species
AUUGAACGCUGGCGGCAGGCCUAACACAUGCAAGUCGAGCGGAUGAAGGGAGCUUGCCCCUGUAUUCAGCGGCGGACGGGUGAGUAAUGCCUAGGAAUCUGCCUGGUCGUGGGGGAUAACGUCCGGAAACGGGCGCUAAUACCGCAUACGUCCUGAGGGAGAAAGUGGGGGAUCUUCGGACCCCACGCUAUCAGAUGAGCAUAGGUCGGAUUAGCUAGUUGGUGGGGUAAAGGCCUACCAAGGCGACGAUCCGUAACUGGUCUGAGAGGAUGAUCAGUCACACUGGAAGUGAGACAGGGUCCAGACUCCUACGGGAGGCAGCAGUGGGGAAUAUUGGACGAUGGGCGAAAGCCUGAUCCAGCCAUGCCGCGUGUGUGAAGAAGGUCUUCGGAUUGUAAAGCAAUUUAAGUUGGGAGGAAGGGCAGUAAGUUAAUACAUGGCUGUUUUGACGGUACCAAAAGAAUAAGCACCGGCUAACUUCGUG